rnacentral:ncRNA from 1 species
GUGUAGCUUAAAGGAAGAGCAAGUUAGCACUGCCCUAGACAUAGAUGAAAUCACAUUUACAAAAUAUAUGAGCAAGAGGAGUGUCGUUCGUAUUCAAAGGAUGAUUUCUGAACUGUCA